AACUGAUACUACCUGCGGGAACCUGCGGAGGGAUCAUUACCGAGUUUACAACUCCCAAACCCAAUGUGAACGUUACCAAACUGUUGCCUCGGCGGGAUCUCUGCCCCGGGUGCGUCGCAGCCCCGGACCAAGGCGCCCGCCGGAGGACCAACCAAAACUCUUUUGUAUACCCCCUCGUGGGUUUUUUAUAUCUGAGCCAUCUCGGCGCCUCUCGUAGGCGUUUCGAAAAUGAAUCAAAAC
rnacentral:misc_RNA from 1 species